rfam:Brassica rapa chromosome A7, whole genome shotgun sequence.
UUAUAUAUGCGUAUGUAAUUAUGGGAUUCUAAGCUUUACGGGAAACCCAACCGAAAGUUCCUUAAAUAAGAAAUUUUCGAUUGCGUUUCCCGUAAAGCUUAGAACCCCGCAAUUACCAAUUACAUACGCAUAUAUAA